rnacentral:rRNA from 1 species
CCCGGCCCAAAUUCUUCGGGAGGCAGCAGUAGGGAUUUUUCCCCAAUGGACGAAAGUCUGAUGGAGCAAUGCCGCGUGAGUGAAGAAGGGUUUCGGCUCGUAAAACUCUGUUGUUAAAGAAGAACACCUUUGAGAGUAACUGUUCAAGGGUUGACGGUAUUUAACCAGAAAGCCACGGCUAACUACGUGCCAGCAGCCGCGGUAAUACGUAGGUGGCAAGCGUUGUCCGGAUUUAUUGGGCGUAAAGCGAGCGCAGGCGGUUUUUUAAGUCUGAUGUGAAAGCCUUCGGCUUAACCGGAGAAGUGCAUCGGAAACUGGGAGACUUGAGUGCAGAAGAGGACAGUGGAACUCCAUGUGUAGCGGUGGAAUGCGUAGAUAUAUGGAAGAACACCAGUGGCGAAGGCGGCUGUCUAGUCUGUAACUGACGCUGAGGCUCGAAAGCAUGGGUAGCGAACAGGAUUAGAUACCCUGGUAGUCCAUGCCGUAAACGAUGAGUGCUAAGUGUUGGAGGGUUUCCGCCCUUCAGUGCUGCAGCUAACGCAUUAAGCACUCCGCCUGGGGAGUACGACCGCAAGGUUGAAACUCAAAGGAAUUGACGGGGGCCCGCACAAGCGGUGGAGCAUGUGGUUUAAUUCGAAGCUACGCGAAGAACCUUACCAGGUCUUGACAUCUUCUGCCAAUCUUAGAGAUAAGACGUUCCCUUCGGGGACAGAAUGACAGGUGGUGCAUGGUUGUCGUCAGCUCGUGUCGUGAGAUGUUGGGUUAAGUCCCGCAACGAGCGCAACCCUUAUUAUCAGUUGCCAGCAUUCAGUUGGGCACUCUGGUGAGACUGCCGGUGACAAACCGGAGGAAGGUGGGGAUGACGUCAAAUCAUCAUGCCCCUUAUGACCUGGGCUACACACGUGCUACAAUGGACGGUACAACGAGUCGCGAAGUCGUGAGGCUAAGCUAAUCUCUUAAAGCCGUUCUCAGUUCGGAUUGUAGGCUGCAACUCGCCUACAUGAAGUUGGAAUCGCUAGUAAUCGCGGAUCAGCAUGCCGCGGUGAAUACGUUCCCGGGCCUUGUACACACCGCCCGUCACACCAUGAGAGUUUGUAACACCCAAAGCCGGUGAGAUAACCUUCGGGAGUCAGCCGUCUAAGGUGGGACAGAUGAUUAGGGUGAAGUCGUAACAAGGUAGCCGUAGGAGAACC